rnacentral:rRNA from 1 species
AGUGAACGCUGGCGGUAGGCCUAACACAUGCAAGUCGAACGGCAGCACAGUAAGAGCUUGCUCUUACGGGUGGCGAGUGGCGGACGGGUGAGGAAUACAUCGGAAUCUACUUUUUCGUGGGGGAUAACGUAGGGAAACUUACGCUAAUACCGCAUACGACCUACGGGUGAAAGCAGGGGAUCUUCGGACCUUGCGCGAUUGAAUGAGUCGAUGUCGGAUUAGCUAGUUGGCGGGGUAAAGGCCCACCAAGGCGACGAUACGUAGCUGGUCUGAGAGGGUGAUCGGCCGCACUGGAACUGAGACACGGUCCAGACUCCUACGGGAGGCAGCAGUGGGGAAUAUUGGACAAUGGGCGCAAGCCUGAUCCAGCCAUACCGCGUGGGUGAAGAAGGCCUUCGGGUUGUAAAGCCCUUUUGUUGGGAAAGAACAGCAGCAGGUUAAUACCCCGCUGUUCUGACGGUACCCAAAGAAUAAGCACCGGCUAACUUCGUG